UGCUACAGGCUUAACACAUGCAAGUCGAGGGGCAGCAUGGUCUUAGCUUGCUAAGGCCGAUGGCGACCGGCGCACGGGUGAGUAACACGUAUCCAACCUGCCGUCUACUCUUGGACAGCCUUCUGAAAGGAAGAUUAAUACAAGAUGGCAUCAUGAGUCCGCAUGUUCACAUGAUUAAAGGUAUUCCGGUAGACGAUGGGGAUGCGUUCCAUUAGAUAGUAGGCGGGGUAACGGCCCACCUAGUCUUCGAUGGAUAGGGGUUCUGAGAGGAAGGUCCCCCACAUUGGAACUGAGACACGGUCCAAACUCCUACGGGAGGCAGCAGUGAGGAAUAUUGGUCAAUGGGCGAGAGCCUGAACCAGCCAAGUAGCGUGAAGGAUGACUGCCUUAUGGGUUGUAAACUUCUUUUAUAAAGGAAUAAAGUCGGGUAUGGAUACCCGUUUGCAUGUACUUUAUGAAUAAGGAUCGGCUAACUCCGUGCCAGCAGCCGCGGUAAUACGGAGGAUUCGAGCGUUAUCCGGAUUUAUUGGGUUUAAAGGGAGCGUAGAUGGAUGUUUAAGUCAGUUGUGAAAGUUUGCGGCUCAACCGUAAAAUUGCAGUUGAUACUGGAUAUCUUGAGUGCAGUUGAGGCAGGCGGAAUUCGUGGUGUAGCGGUGAAAUGCUUAGAUAUCACGAAGAACUCCGAUUGCGAAGGCAGCCUGCUAAGCUGCAACUGACAUUGAGGCUCGAAAGUGUGGGUAUCAAACAGGAUUAGAUACCCUGGUAGUCCACACGGUAAACGAUGAAUACUCGCUGUUUGCGAUAUACGGCAAGCGGCCAAGCGAAAGCGUUAAGUAUUCCACCUGGGGAGUACGCCGGCAACGGUGAAACUCAAAGGAAUUGACGGGGGCCCGCACAAGCGGAGGAACAUGUGGUUUAAUUCGAUGAUACGCGAGGAACCUUACCCGGGCUUAAAUUGCAGAUGAAUUACGGUGAAAGCCGUAAGCCGCAAGGCAUCUGUGAAGGUGCUGCAUGGUUGUCGUCAGCUCGUGCCGUGAGGUGUCGGCUUAAGUGCCAUAACGAGCGCAACCCUUGUUGUCAGUUACUAACAGGUUCUGCUGAGGACUCUGACAAGACUGCCAUCGUAAGAUGUGAGGAAGGUGGGGAUGACGUCAAAUCAGCACGGCCCUUACGUCCGGGGCUACACACGUAUUACAAUGGGGGGUACAGAGGGCCGCUACCACGCGAGUGGAUGCCAAUCCCAAAAACCUCUCUCAGUUCGGACUGGAGUCUGCAACCCGACUCCACGAAGCUGGAUUCGCUAGUAAUCGCGCAUCAGCCACGGCGCGGUGAAUACGUUCCCGGGCCUUGUACACACCGCCCGUCAAGCCAUGGGAGCCGGGGGUACCUGAAGUGCGUAACCGCGAGGAGCGCCCUAGGGUAAAACUGGUGACU
rnacentral:rRNA from 1 species